UUAUUUGGUAAUCCGAUUUAGCCAUGCUAGUUGUACGAGUUGAGACUCGUAGCAGAUAGCUCAGUAACACGUGGCCAAACUACCCUAUCGAGCACGAUACUCUCGGGAAACUGAGGCUAAUAGUGCAUACGGCUCGGCGUCUGGAGUGACGCGAGCCAGAAAUGCUCAGGCGCGAUAGGAUGUGGCUGCGGCCGAUUAGGUAGACGGUGGGGUAACGGCCCACCGUGCCAGUAAUCGGUACGGGUUGUGAGAGCAAGAGCCCGGAGACGGUAUCUGAGACAAGAUACCGGGCCCUACGGGGCGCAGCAGGCGCGAAACCUUUACACUGCACGCGAGUGCGAUAAGGGGACUCCAGGUGCGAGGGCAUAUAGUCCUCGCUUUUCGUGACCGUAGGAUGGUCACAGAAUAAGUGCUGGGCAAGACCGGUGCCAGCCGCCGCGGUAAUACCGGCAGCACGAGUGAUGACCGCUAUUAUUGGGCCUAAAGCGUCCGUAGCUGGCCACGCAAGUCUAUCGGGAAAUCUCUCCGCUCAACGGAGAGGCGUCCGGUGGAAACUGUGUGGCUUGGGACCGGAAGAUCCAGAGGGUACGUCUGGGGUAGGAGUGAAAUCCCGUAAUCCGAGACGGACCACCGGUGGCGAAAGCGCUCUGGAAAGACGGA
rnacentral:rRNA from 1 species